rnacentral:rRNA from 1 species
AGAAUCAACGCUGGCGGCGUGCCUCAGACAUGCAAGUCGAACGCGAAAGGCCCCUUCGGGGGCCGAGUAGAGUGGCGCACGGGUGAGUAACACGUGGGUAAUUUGCCUUCGGGUGGGGAAUAACAGCCGGAAACGGCUGCUAAUACCGCAUAAUGCAGCGGCAUCUAUGAUGACAGUUGUUAAAGCGGGGGAUCGCAAGACCUCGCGCCUGAAGAGAAGCCCGCGGCGGAUUAGCUAGUUGGUAGGGUAAUGGCCUACCAAGGCGACGAU